rnacentral:rRNA from 1 species
GACGAACGCUGGCGGCGUGCCUAAUACAUGCAAGUAGAACGCACAGUUUAUACCGUAGCUUGCUACACCAUAGACUGUGAGUUGCGAACGGGUGAGUAACGCGUAGGUAACCUGCCUGGUAGCGGGGGAUAACUAUUGGAAACGAUAGCUAAUACCGCAUAAUAUUAAUUAUUGCAUGAUAAUUAAUUGAAAGGUGCAAUUGCACCACUACCAGCUGGACCUGCGUUGUAUUAGCUAGUAGGUGAGGUAACGGCUCACCUAGGCGACGAUACAUAGCCGACCUGAGAGGGUGAUCGGCCACACUGGGACUGAGACACGGCCCAGAAUCCUACGGGAGGCAGCAGGAGGGAAUCUUCGGCAAUGGACGAAAGGCUGAACGAGCAACGCCGCGGGAGGGAAGAAGGGUUUCGGAUCGUAAAGCUCUGUUGUAAGAGAAGAACGGGUGUGAGAGUGGAAAGUUCACACUGUGACGGUAUCUUACCAGAAAGGGACGGCUAACUACGUG